AGACGGGGUUUCACCGUGUUAGCCAGGAUGGUCUCGAACUCCUGACCUCAGGUGAUCACCCCCACCUCAGCUUCCCAAACUGCUAAGAUUACAGGCGUGAGCCACCGCGCCCGGCCUCUUCUGGUUUUCAACAAGACAUUAAAACAAGACAUUACAGAAGGGGAAAGGCUGAGAGUUUUGGCCAAACGGAUUCGUGUUCUCGAGCUGCUGCGGCGGCCACAAGGAACCCGGAUGCCGCUGAGCUUAGCCCGCCAGACUCUCCGGCUUAUGGCUCCCAGGCCCAGGCACCCGGCCUGCCUCGUCCGUGGCGCGCAUGCGCAGGCCCAGAUCGGCGCUCCGCGCCGGCUGUGUCGCCACCUGGCGGAUGGAAGCGCGAUGGCCGCGGUAGAAGUCAAGCGCCAGAGGGCACUCCAUGCGGAUACCCAAAUCUGAGGUUGCCCAAGUCCCUGAUGUAACAUGGCGCAGUAUUUGCAUAUGAACUACGCACGGCCUCCCGGAUACUUUAAAUUAUACUCUAGAUAAUUUACGAUACCUAAUAAAAUGUAAAUGCUAUGUCAAUAAUUGUCAUACUGUAUUAUUUAUGGAAUAAUGACAAUUUUGUUGUUGUUGAGACAGAGUCUCGCUCUGUCGCCCAGGCUGAAGUG
rnacentral:lncRNA from 1 species